rnacentral:sRNA from 1 species
CAACUUCAAUCUGUUGCGGACAAAUAAAAUGAAUAUGGCUAUCAAUACCACCAGCCGUGAGAAUCAUUCCUUCACCGGCUAAGGCUUCCGUACCGGGUCCAAUAAUAAUAUCUAUAUUGUCUUGAAUAUAUGGAUUACCUGCUUUCCCAAUUUUAAAGAUUUUGCCGUCUUUAAUGCCGAUGUCUGCUUUGACUAUUCCCCACCAGUCGAGAAUCAAAGCAUUGGUAAUAACUAAAUCUACUGCACCAUCAGCCUUAGAAAUGGGAGAUUGUCCCAUCCCAUCGCGGAUG